rnacentral:rRNA from 1 species
AUGAACGCUAGCUACCGGCUUAACACAUGCAAGUCGAGGGGCAGCAUGAUUGAAGCUUGCUUCAAUCGAUGGCGACCGGCGCACGGGUGAGUAACACGUAUCCAACCUGCCGAUAACUCGGGGAUAGCUUUUCAAAGGAAAGAUUAAUACCUAACAUUUUGAAUUUCCCGGUUGGUUUGCCAAUUAAGGACUUUCUGUUACGUAUGGGGAUGCGUUCCUUGCGUUAGUUGGGGGGGAAAGGGCCCACCAAGCCAACGAUGGAUAGGGGUCAGGGUUGGAAGGUCCCCCACAUUGGAACUGAGACACGGUCCAAACUCCUACGGGAGGCAGCAGUGAGGAAUAGUGGUCAAUGGACGAGAGUCUGAACCAGCCAAGUAGCGUGAAGGAGGACUGCCCUAGGGGUUGUAAACUUCUUUUAUACGGGAAUAAAGUGGAGUAUGCAUACUCCUUUGUAUGUACCGGAUGAAUAAGGAUCGGCUAACUCCGUG